rnacentral:misc_RNA from 1 species
GAUGAAGAACGUAGCAAAAUGCGAUAAGUAAUGUGAAUUGCAGAAUUCAGUGAAUCAUCGAAUCUUUGAACGCACAUUGCGCCCGCUGGUAUUCCGGCGGGCAUGCCUGUUCGAGCGUCAUUUCAACCCUCAAGCCCCCGGGUUUGGUGUUGGGGAUCGGCUCUGCCCUUCUGGGCGGUGCCGCCCCCGAAAUACAUUGGCGGUCUCGCUGCAGCCUCCAUUGCGUAGUAGCUAACACCUCGCAACUGGAACGCGGCGCGGCCAUGCCGUGAAACCCCAACUUCUGAAUGUUGACCUCGGAUCAGGUAGGAAUACCCGCUGAACUUAAGCAUAUCAAUAAGCGGAGGA